UACGGGGGGGGCAAGCGUUGUUCGGAAUUACUGGGCGUAAAGGGCUCGUAGGUGGCCAACUAAGUCAGACGUGAAAUCCCUCGGCUUAACCGGGGAACUGCGUCUGAUACUGGUUGGCUUGAAUCCGGGAGAGGGAUGUGGAAUUCCAGGUGUAGCGGUGAAAUGCGUAGAUAUCUGGAGGAACACCGGUGGCGAAGGCGACAUCCUGGACCGGUAUUGACGCUGAGGCGCGAAAGCCAGGGGAGCAAACGGG
rnacentral:rRNA from 1 species